rnacentral:rRNA from 1 species
UACAGAGGGUGCAAGCGUUGUUCGGAAUUAUUGGGCGUAAAGCGCGUGUAGGCGGCUUUGCAAGUCGGGUGUGAAAUCCCUCAGCUUAACUGAGGAAGGGCGCCCGAAACUGCAGAGCUUGAGUGCCGGAGAGGGUGGCGGAAUUCCCCAAGUAGAGGUGAAAUUCGUAGAUAUGGGGAGGAACACCGGUGGCGAAGGCGGCCACCUGGCCGGUAACUGACGCUGAGACGCGAAAGCAUGGGGAGCAAACAGG